GUGACCGCUUCCACCGGCGGACUCGUGAGCGCGCCACUGCCAGGACCGCUCCUGGGCCUUAGAGAAGACGCGGAUAAGGGCCAAGGAAAGAGGGAGGUAGCAGUUCCUGAGCUCCUUCGGCGCUUCGGCUCCUGCAGCUCUGACUAUUCGGACCCUCAAGGUAGAAUAGGAGGUUGUCAGUUCCCUGCUCUCAGAAGUUGCCUGCGCUCUGAGACAGGUGCCGCUCUGUUGCCUAGGAUGAUCUCAAACUCCUAAGCUCAAGCAAUCCUCCUGCCUCGACUUCCCAAAGCGCUGGAAUUAUGGGUGUGAGCCACUGUGCCCAGGCUUUUAAAAAUCUCGUCAAUACUGACAAGCUAACCUAUUCAGCUUCUCCAGUUGUGUACUUCGAAAAGGCAGUAGUGGUUGGAAGAGGAAAUAGACCUUUUGUAAGUCAGAACCUUAUCUCUUCAAAUAGGAUGUUUUAGCAAAUGCACCAUUCCAUAGUGUUCAUAUCCACUUGUACAGAAUCGUCAAGGUUUUUCUGGAGCAAGUUUUGUAUGAACUGAGUUGCAUUCUAGACCAAGCCUUGGAUUAACUCUCCAUGUACUUCCUUGGAAUCAUUCAGGUCUCCAGGGUUGGGAUGUUUUAUUUCCUCAGCAUAAGCAUGAAGCAUCAAAGAAACUGAACUGACUAACAUUUGAAGCAAAAAGGAACAAUAGUGAAUUGAAAAAUAUUUAUUGAAAUUGUUUGAUUUCAGCGUUCUAGUGGCAGACACUUAAUAAUGCAAACCUGAGUCUAAUGAGUCCACCUCCAUAUCUCCCACUUACCCAGUCUUGAGGCUGCUUCUAAUUCUACAGCCCCAGAAACCUUGAGUUGGCUGGUUCUGGCUCAAAGCAAAGAUAUGGGAAUGCUUUUGGAUAUUGUAGAGGAUCAGAAUAUCCAGAUCUGAAGUAUCCAAGACAGAUGUUUUGACUCAUUACCACUAGUGUCUUUAGGACAGAAGACAGCUCCAGACCUGGCCAGACUGCCAGCAGUUUGCUCCAGACUAGACUUUCAUUCAUGGGCAAAGAUUAAAACUGGACUAGCACAAUCAACAGAGUGAAAAGCAACCUACAGAAGGGGAGAAAAUAUUUGCAGAUUCUGUAUCUGAUAAGAGCUCAGUAUCUAUUAUAUAAAAAGAACUCUUGCAGGUCAACAAAAAGAGCCCUAAUUUUAAAAUGAGCGGAAGACUUGAAUAGACUUUUAUGUAAAGAAGAUAUAUAAAUGGCCAACAAGCAUAUGAGAACAUAGAUACUCAAGAUUACUAAUCAUUAGAGAAAUGCAAAUCAAAACUACAAUUAGGUACUGCCUCACAUCUAUUAGGCUAGUCAAAAAAAAAACAAAAAACAGGUGUUGGCAUGGAUGUGGAGAAAUUGGAACCUUCGUGCACUGUUGGUAGGAAUGUAAAAUGGUGCAGCUGUUGUGGAAAAAAAUGUAGAGGUUCCUCAAAAAAUUAAAAAUAGAACCACCAGCAAUUCUACUUCUGGAUAAUUAUCUAAAAGAAUUGAAAGCAAGAUCUUGAAGAGAGGUUCCUACACCCAUGUUCGUAACAGCAUUAUUUGCAAUAGCCAAGAGGUGGAAGCAGCCCAAAUGUCCAUCAAGGAAUGAAUGAAUGAAGAAAAAUGUUACAUACAUACAGUAGAAUAUUAUUCAGCCUUAAAAGGGAGGAAAUCCUGUUAUAUACUGCAUGUGUGAACCUUGAGGAUAUUAUGCUAAGUGAAAUAAACCAGUCACAAAAAGACAUGUAUUAUGUCACUUAUAUGUAGUAACUAGAGAAAUCAAAUUAAUAGAAACAGAGUUGAAUGAUGGUUACCAGGGACUGGCUGGAAGGGAAAAAUGGGGAGUUGUUUAAUGGAUGUAGAGUUUCAGUUUUACACAGUGAAAAGGUUCCGGAGAUCUGCUGCACAGCAGUGUGAAUAUGCAUAACAUUACUGAACUGUAGUGUUUUUUUACCAUAAUAAAGUUAUUUUUUU